rnacentral:rRNA from 1 species
AGCGAACGCUGGCGGCAGGCCUAACACAUGCAAGUCGAACGAACUCUUCGGAGUUAGUGGCGGACGGGUGAGUAACACGUGGGAACGUGCCUUUUGGUUCGGAAUAACUCAGGGAAACUUGUGCUAAUACCGAAUGUGCCCUUCGGGGGAAAGAUUUAUCGCCAUUAGAGCGGCCCGCGUCUGAUUAGCUAGUUGGUGAGGUAACGGCUCACCAAGGCGACGAUCAGUAGCUGGUCUGAGAGGAUGACCAGCCACACUGGGACUGAGACACGGCCCAGACUCCUACGGGAGGGAGCAGUGGGGGAUCUUGCGCAAUGGGCGAAAGCCUGACGCAGCCAUGCCGCGUGAAUGAUGAAGGUCUUAGGAUUGUAAAAUUCUUUCACCGGGGACGAUAAUGACGGUACCCGGAGAAGAAGCCCCGGCUAACUUCGUG